rnacentral:rRNA from 1 species
GACGAACGCUGGCGGCGUGCCUAACACAUGCAAGUCGAGCGGGAAGCUUCCGAAUUGAGACUUCGGUUGAUUUUUAGAAGUGGAGAGCGGCGGACGGGUGAGUAACGCGUGAGUAACCUGCCUUCAAGAGGGGGAUAACACAUAGAAAUGUGUGCUAAUACCGCAUAAUGUCAGAGUGCCGCAUGACACACUGACCAAAGAUUUAUCGCUUGAAGAUGGACUCGCGUCUGAUUAGCUAGUUGGAGGGGUAACGGCCCACCAAGGCGACGAUCAGUAGCCGAACUGAGAGGUUGAUCGGCCACAUUGGGACUGAGACACGGCCCAGACUCCUACGGGAGGCAGCAGUGGGGAAUAUUGCGCAAUGGGGGAAACCCUGACGCAGCAACGCCGCGUUGAGGAUGACGGUUUUCGGAUUGUAAACUCAUGUCUGGUGGGAAGAUAGUGACGGUACCACCGGAGGAAGUCAACGGCUAACUACGUGCCAGCAG